rnacentral:tRNA from 1 species
GCCCAGUGGGCUCAGGUGGUGGAGCAUAAGACUUUUGAUCCUGGGGUUGUGGGGUUGAGCCCUAUACUGGGUG